UUGGCGCCGUGUGCUCGUCAUCUUGGUGCCGGCGAGCCGCGGCCGCUUGCUCCUCGCCGUCGCCAUCUCGUCCCAAACGAUUUCACCGUGCCGAGCCACAGCGGGAGAAGCCAGAAAUGACCUACGUACGUGCACCAUCAAUGGAAUCGAAACGAUCGAUCUUAUGGUCUGAACGAUAUGCAUGGCCAGCUAGCAGCAGCGCGCGUGAGGUCGUGUGGUACUACCUCUCUCUCAGUUUACAGGGCGUGGGCGUACCUCUAGGUCGUCAAUUUGAUCAACCUAAUACAAGUCAUAUAUUACAAAAAAUAUACCAACAUAAACUUUGGAGUUUUUACUUUCAAAAGGUAUAAUUUUUGUGUUAUAUAGUUUAUAUUAGGAUGAUAAAAUUGACAACCUAGGUAUACGUGCAUGACUUGUAAACUGAAACGGAGGUAGUAGUACUUACGUGUUUAAUUACUACGGCUUGUUUUAAUUGUAAUUUUUUUUUGCGAUGAAUGUUUCAAUUGUAAUUACUGAGUAAUAAUAGUGGUAGUAGUAGUAGGCAGUAAGAUCAUGUAUUC